AGGUAAAACAACAGAGAGGAAGAGGGGGAAGCAGGGAGCGAAGAAGAGAGCCAUGAGGUAAAACAACAGAGAGGAAGAGGGGGAAGCAGGGAGCGAAGAAGAGAGCCAUGAUGUACAACAACAUAGAGGAAGAGGGGGAAGCAGGGAGCGAAGAAGAGAG